rnacentral:lncRNA from 1 species
AGCUCUGAGCGCGACCCUACCCGGCUCGGGCCCGCAGCAACCCCGACUGUCCGAGAGCCUCUCCCCAAGCAAGGCUCUGCGCCGCCCUCUGAGCCCACCUCCUGGCCACAACGCUGCCUGCGCUUCUCCAGCCCAGGCCGGAAGCCCUAUGCUGCCUCCCGAAGCCGUCCCUGAUCUGGGGUGGGUAAAGCGAGGGCUCGGAAUGGAGCCCAGGGCACUUCCAGAGUGGGUGGGAUGCUGAGCACCGCCUGCACUCCGAUACUCUCAGAGCCACAAAACCCUAGGGGAUUGGCUUGUAGGGCCUCUAGAUCUCUUCUCUCUCUCUCUCUCUCUCUCUCUCUCUCUCUCUCUCUCUCUCUCCUCUCAGACUCAAGGACUGGGGACUUGGUGGAUCUAUGGCAUUGGUACCCACAGAGGUCACCUGCACAGAUAAAUCUGUCGCCACCCUUCAACCCUGGCCUACCGGAUCUGCGGGGAGAAAUGCAGCAUUUGAAUUGGGGAGUGUUCAGUCCUGCUCUGCGGGGCAUUUAUUUACAAAUAUCAGCUGCAACCCAGCCUUGAUAACGUCUCAUACAGUCAGAGGACUUUGCGGGAAGCACACUUCCUCCUUGUUUGGGGCUACAGGGAAAGCCCAGGAAAGCGAGUCCCAGAAGGCCUGGGACAGCUACACCCAGUUCACCCAUGCUCAACCCGGAACAGCCGACCCAAACGGUCAGGAAGGUUUGUCCUGGGGGCAACGCCUCUUCCGGGCUCUAGGACAUUGGAAGACAGAGAGAUUGCUGGGUAGCGGGUGGUCUGGGCCUCCCCGCAAGCUGCAAACGAAGGAGCUUGGAGCAGACCGCCAGGGAGGGCGCAGGGGAGCGCAGUACUCAGGCGGAGAGGCCCCGAAGCCCUUCAGGGACUCCGAUUACUUUCCUUUGAACAACAACAACAACAACAACAAAAACAACAACAACAACUGCUCCCUCCCCCUUAUAUCCCCUCCCUUUUUUAGCCUCCGGGCACCAGGCUUCCACGUAAUUGUCCUUCUGGACAGUAAACACAGCUCAGUUGCCUCAACUUUCCUGGUGCAUAAAAGUUCCCGGCGUGAGGGGAAAUUUGAAUAUUUGAUCAGCCCCUUUGAGUGACCCUCAUUAGCCUGGCGCCCUGCUAAGGCCCCACCAUUGCAAAAAAGCUGCUGGGCCCGGCAUUUGUACGCCUUGUUAGCGCUGCUUAAUGAAGCCGCCCCGACGGCUCAAAGGCGGCCUCUGGGGCCGGCAGCGCGCACCUCUCGGCACCCCGCUCUGCCUAAUGAGCCCCGCCGCCCGCUAAAGGCCCUUCCACCCCCCACAUCCUCAAACAAGAGGGGUUUGGCUCCGUCUAGGACCUGAACACCUCCCACCACCGGGCCCAGGAGGGUGGGCACAAACCCAGUCUAGCUGGCUACACGGUGAUCUAGCCCCUGGAGAAAGAAGCCAGCUACUUGGAGUAUGCAAGCUAAAAAUGGUUGUGUGAGUGGGAAAGUAGGGAAGUGGAUUUUACAGCCACUAGGUCUAGCUCACCCGUGGGUACCACGAACUUUCCCCCACAGGGCCAGCUGUAAAUCAAUUAACCAGCCCAGCUCCUUAAAGGUGCAUCUGGACUAGUGUUAGAACGUCAGAAGGGCUGGUACACAGGGGAGGGUCAGCUUUCCACUCCCCCCUCAAAUUCCUUUGCUCUGGUCUCCCCAGGAGGCCUGGCACUUCUCCCCAGGUGGCCUCACACUUUCUGGAAGGUCAACCUUCCAGGCAACUAGAACUCUAGGCCUGUAUUUGAGAAAGGAUGGGCAGGUUCAGUUCACACCCCUCGGAGAAUGACUUCCAGUUUCACACAAUCCCAUCCCUGGUCUCUCUUCCAUUGCGUUUAUAGCCAUGGAGAGGUCUGAAGAAGUUAGCCCAGGAAAGACCACGCUCCUUAGGCAAGACUGGGACCCCAAAAAAACCUGGACGAGAGGGGGAAAAUCCUAGGAAAAGGGAGUGGAGACAGCCACCCACUAGGACAAGCAUCUACUCCUUCUCUCCUCUUCUUGGGCCAAGGAACACAGCUAACUAGUUAAUAUAAGAAACCAUUAGAAACUGCACUUCACUCCUCAGGAAGAGUUGACAUCUCUCACUGCCCUCUCGCCUCCAUUGUUCUUUCUCCUGGACAGUUGGAACUCAAGGUCCCCUUUCACUCCCUUCUUGAGUACCCCUAGCACUUGCUGGGUUGGUGGAGCAGGGAACUCUCGGUUCUCCACUCAGGACUUUCUGGAAGCCCAUCUUCGUAUGCUCACCAGCCCACCCUCCUACGCUGGUCAGAGUGAGAUUGCUAACCUCAAGACCCCAUUCAAUGCCAGCUUUCAACUACUGCUGAAGACCAAUGUAGGUCCUGGAAUAGAAGAACUGCAGAGUAUGCAGACAAAAGCUACCAUGUCCGCUUGGAGUGACGCCCAGACACGCACAGAGAUGUACAGGAAGCCAAGGAGAGUGGGAUCCACCAGAGUACAGUACAAGUACAGAGUACAGUGCAAGAUGCCCAGU